CUGCCAAAUAGAGUACUAUUUUGUAUGAAAUGGUUUGUUACAGUGUUUGUCAGUUGUGUGAAACACUGUCAGGUUUCAGUACCCUGUUUAGAAUACCAAAUACCACUCACGCUUGAAGUGCGUUGAUAUGUAUCAAUUUUC